rnacentral:tRNA from 1 species
GCCUGGAUAGCCUCAGUCGGUAGAGCAUCAGACUUUAAUCUGAGGUCCAGGGUUCAAGUCCCUGUUCGGGCG